rnacentral:rRNA from 1 species
UGGGGAAGUAUUGCACAAUGGGGGAAACCCGUACGAUGCAGCGACGCCGCGUGGAGGAAGAAGGCCUUCGGGUUGUAAACUCCUGUCGUAAGGGACGAUAGUGACGGUACCUUACAAGAAAGCCACGGCUAACUACGUGCCAGCAGCCGCGGUAAAACGUAGGUGGCAAGCGUUGUCCGGAAUUACUGGGUGUAAAGGGAGCGCAGGCGGGUCUGCAAGUUGGAAGUGAAACCCAUGGGGCUCAACCCAUGAACUGCUUUCAAAACUGCGGAUCUUGAGUGGUGUAGAGGUAGGCGGAAUUCCCGGUGUAGCGGUGGAAUGCGUAGAUAUCGGGAGGAACACCAGUGGCGAAGGCGGCCUACUGGGCACUAACUGACGCUGAGGCUCG